UUUUUUUCUUUUUGAUAUGUACUAGAACCAAUCAAACCGGCGGCAUAUCUACAUCGUGUGAAAAAACGGUAAUUUUGCUUGCAAGCCUCGACGAUGCGGACGAGAAGUGACAUGUGCAUUCAAUAUUGCCUACAAAAGAGGUGAGCCGGAUAUAUUGUACCUCGGCGAAGUAGUCCUUCAUGAUCAUUUUGUCGUCGAGAGCUCGGUUGCAGGGAAUGCAUAGCCGAUCGACCGUCGAUAUGUGCCGCUUUUUCUUCGGACCCGGUGCAUGAGUUUCGCCCGAGCAUACCUCGCCCGAAGCAGCGCCCCGCCGCCCCUUUCUUCUUCCCGCCGCCCGAAGCCACGCCGUCGCUUUCUUCUUUCCGCCGCCCCUUUCUUUUCCCCGCCUGCCGAAACAGUGCAGUGCCGCCCUCUUCCAACGAUGCGCGCCGCCAGAGUAGCCGGAACCAACCGGAUCCGCAAGGAACGAGCCUGCACGCCGACCUCCCGGGCGGAUCCAUGGCGCCGACAGAGCUUCGGCGGUGCAGGGCAGCCGGAGGCAGCACCAAGAGGCAGGGUUUUACGGCGGCGGCUGGAAGUGGAAGCGGGAAAGGAAAGCCGGUGAAAGUGCUUCGCCCCAACUGGAAGGGGAUCCUACAAAAUCAAAUUAGGCUCGCGGAUGCGGAAUCCCACAAAAAAAAUCCAAGAGGACCCGAUUUGACGGAUCUGCUUGGGCCGAGUAUACGGGUGGAUCCUACAAAUCACCGGUUAUUAUAGCGGCCACCCUGGUUUGCAGGAUUUGGAUUUGCUAGAGAUGCUCUGACAAGAGGACAAAGAGGCCUACCCCAGUUGAAUUCAAGGAAGAAAUGUUGAAUUCAAGGGGAGAAAUAAAACGUUUGUACAUUCCUUAGGUCUAGCAUAUUUCUUUUCGAUUCUUUGUAGGUGCGCAAUAAGCUCACAACAGCACAAGUUUCCAUGGUACUACCGACAAACGGUGAAAGCCAAUGCAUGAUGCAUGAGUCACAACUCACAAGUCACAGCUUCAAAUGUUAUCAAUGAGUUCAUCGAAACAUAGAGUUGGGUAUGCUAAAAACAGAGAAAACAGGUUUGACACAGCAAGGGGGAACGCAAACAAUGAAUUAGGCACACCAAGUUUUGAGAUGAAGACGAUUAGUUUGAAAGCGACAGGUUUUAGGCAAGCUGGCUUCCAAGCAGGAGGUCAGCUUGGACACAAUGAACCAUACAGACAGAGUACAUCGACGCAGGUGGUAAACUGCUCAAACCAAACACUUCCAGUUUUCACCACAUGGAUAACAGAGAUACAGGCCAAUUCAUCGCUCGUUCAUUAAGCAGGCACCAUCAUUAACAUCACUUUCCGCCAAACAAGUAGCCCAGGGACGAGCCACCGCCAGGAGCAGCAUGAACCUUGGUUGAAGGACGGUCCUGCGAGGGUUUAAACAGAGUCAUCAGCCAUUUCUCAGCCCACAUGGUAAACAAAAUCAGAGCCCCACAAUGACGUCUGAAUAUCUUUUCAAUACUCAAAAAUCAGAACAUUCAAGUAGGCGAAAUAACAAGAAGCUUUAACCCAUUUGCAUGGCAUUACAUUUCAGGGGGAAAAUGAACCGUUACAUUCUUGUUAUACUAUUGACUGUAGUGACAAAUAACAGAAAACGAGAUAAAUUCUUGGUAGCUUAACAUGAAUCCACAUAGGAAGUAGUUGCAAAAACUGUACUGGGCAGAAGAUUGUUCUAGCAAAAAAAAUUAAUGAUGGAUGCUGACAGUUAUUAAACUUAUGUCAAUGGAAACUUCUGACAUGCCUCAGAUGAAAUUUUAAUGGGGAAUAGCUGGAUCAAAUUAGGUUCAUUACAAGGCCAAAAACCAUACCGUAAGGAAGUUGCCCGUGUUCUGGCCAUCUGCACGGUAAUAGUUGUUCGCCCGGCUACCUGGAAUGCCAGCUGGAAUCUGCUUGGCUACAUCAGCAGCUGCCGGUGCUGGUUUCUCAGCAGGUGCGGGCUUCGCAGCUGGUGCUGCAGCAGGCUUUGCAGGCUCGCCAUCUCCAAACAGGUAACCCAGAGAACUUUGACCACCACCAGCACUCCCGCCACGACUCAUCUUGACUGUAAGAUAAAUACAUAAAUUGCAACAUAUGAGUGGACAAGUUCAGCGUGAUUGUCAGAGUGCAAUACAUUUUGGAAACAGCAAAUGAAAUCAUCAGGGAUAAAAGCUUCCGGAAAAAUUAAGAUCUCAAAGAUAAACUACAUAAGGCAAGUGAAUCUUGAAAUCAUAUGCCCAUACCGGAUAUAUUUCGACCACUAGUUACUACAAAAAUGUUGAUAUAGUGGCAUUUGAAGAAAUAUCAUGGUAAUUUAGGAGAAGACAGAAAAAAAGCAUGCAUGCUAAACCAAGUCUUCAGAUAAGAAUGCUUGGUAAGAUUAAGUAUCAGUGCUGCUUAGACUGAAUGAAGUCCAACAGGGUCAGAUAUUAUCACAAGCCACAAGGUAUGCUGUCAAUUAAAGCAUAUAAUCUACAAGGUUAGGUAAGAUCAAUUUCUGUGAAAAAGAAAGAUAAAACUCUGAAGA
rnacentral:lncRNA from 1 species